CGACCUGCAGGCGGCCGCGAAUUCACUAGUGAUUCGUAUUACCGCGGCUGCUGGCACAAAAUUAGCCGGUGCUUAUUCUGUCGGUAACGUCAAAACACUAACGUAUUAGGUUAAUGCCCUUCCUCCCAACUUAAAGUGCUUUACAAUCCGAAGACCUUCUUCACACACGCGGCAUGGCUGGAUCAGGCUUUCGCCCAUUGUCCAAUAUUCCCCACUGCUGCCUCCCGUAGGAGUCUGGACCGUGUCUCAGUUCCAGUGUGACUGAUCAUCCUCUCAGACCAGUUACGGAUCGUCGCCUUGGUGAGCCAUUACCCCACCAACUAGCUAAUCCGACCUAGGCUCAUCUGAUAGCGCAAGGCCCGAAGGUCCCCUGCUUUCUCCCGUAGAACGUAUGCGGUAUUAGCGUCCGUUUCCGAGCGUUAUCCCCCACUACCAGGCAGAUUCCUAGGCAUUACUCACCCGUCCGCCGCUCUCAAGAGGUGCAAGCACCUCUCUCCCGCUCGACUUGCAUGUGUUAGGCCUGGCGCCAGCGUUCAAUCUGAGCCAUGAUCAAACUCUAAUCGAAUUCCCGCGGCC
rnacentral:rRNA from 1 species